rnacentral:lncRNA from 1 species
UAAAAAAGGUCCCACCUCCCCAUGGGAGUGGAAAUCUCAAUCCUUACUCCAAAAAUGAGUAGAGCCCAUAAAAUAUGAUUCUCAUUCCUCCUUUAAAAUAUAUAAAUAAACACAAGAGUGAAAGAAACGCACACUUCUCACUCUCACUCCGUAAGUAAACACAGCAACAGUGUGGGGCAGGCACAAAACCCCAUAAUACUGAGGUAUUGCUUUUCUGCACUCAGAAGAGUGCUCAAACUUGUUAUUCUCAACGACUGACUUUAUGCACUGGUCUGAUUCUACGAAUUAAACUUCAUACAGUGUUGAAAAUAAAACAAACGGUUAGAGUUGAAGAUAUGUGGCAGCACAAAUUAAAUCUAGAAACCGCGUGUUGACGGGGUCGGUGACACAGUCAAAACCUCUCAUAUGGGAGAUAAGAUAAUUUGGUAGAAUUUACUAGCGACAAUAACUAAAAGUAGUUUAAUUUUAGCCUAAUUUUAGAAAAUAUAUAUAACUGGUCUUUUAUAUAUUAAUUCUUGAAGCAGCUUUGAAUUGAGUUUUCAGACGACUUUUGAUAAAAUUAGCUUGAUUUUGACACAAAAUAUAUAAAACUGGCCUUUUGUAUAUUGAUUAUCGAAGCAGCUUUGAAUUGGGUUUUAGAAGACUUUUGACAAAGUUCACUGAUUUUGACACACAAGUGUAUAUAACUGGCCGGCUAGUCUUUUGAAGUUUUCAAGUCCUUUGGAAGAUGUAAAAUAUUUGGAAAUUAAGUGUUACUUUAAAAUAACAAUUGUAUUUGCAAAUGAGGUAUUAUUACCCCCACUUCCAUAACAGAAUUAAAAUUACGUCUAAAUUAUUUAAAAAAUUACAACUGAAUAAGAACUUUGAGCAAUUAGUUAAUUAUAACCUUUUCACAAUUUUUUUUUUUACUUUUCUUAGGUACUUUAACAAUCUUUGAUCAUUUGAGAUUGUUUUAAGAUAUAUUUAAAAUACCUAUUUUACCCUUUAUUAGAAAAUAAUAAAAUUACUCCACAAAAAUGUAUUAUUCUAUCUAAUAGAUUAGUACUUAGUUUUAUGUUCUCUAAUCUACUUUUAAAAAAAAUCAAUAAUUUUUAAUACCCACAUGUCAUAAAUAUAUUUUGUUAGUUUAAUUGAAUAGUAACAGUUACACUAAUAAAGUAGUACUU